rnacentral:rRNA from 1 species
UACGAGGGGGGCGAGCGUUGUUCGGAAUUAUUGGGCGUAAAGGGUGCGUAGGCGGUUCCGCAAGUCCUGUGUGAAAUCUUCGGGCUCAACUCGAAGUCUGCACGGGAAACUGCGGGGCUUGAGUGUGGGAGAGGUGAGUGGAAUUCCCGGUGUAGCGGUGCAAUGCGUAGAUAUCGGGAGGAGCACCUGUGGCGAAAGCGGCUCACUGGACCAUAACUGACGCUGAUGCACGAAAGCUGGGGGAGCAAACAGG